rnacentral:misc_RNA from 1 species
AACGCACAUUGCGCCCGCCAGUAUUCUGGCGGGCAUGCCUGUUCGAGCGUCAUUUCAACCCCUCAGGCCCUGGUGCCUGGCGUCGGGGCGUUCCCUCGCGGGAAGCCCCCAGAGACAGUGGCGGACCAGUCGCGGCUCCGAGCGCAGUAGUAACAUUCUCGCUUAGGAGGUCUGCGGCGGGCUCCCGGCCGUAAAACCCAGACCCCUCACAGGGCUGACUUCUCAAGGUUGACCUCGGAUCAGGUAGGAAUACCCGCUGAACUUAA